rnacentral:rRNA from 1 species
UGGCGGACGGGCGAGUAACGCGUAAAGAACUUGCCCUUUAGACUGGGAUAACAGAGGGAACUUCUGAUAAUACUGGAUAAGUUAGUAUAUCGCAUGAUAUGCAAAUGAAAGCUACGGCACUAAAGGAGAGCUUUGCGUCCUAUUAGCUAGUUGGUAAGGUAAGAGCUUACCAAGGCGAUGAUAGGUAGCCGGCCUGAGAGGGUGGACGGCCACAAGGGGACUGAGAUACGGCCCUUACUCCUACGGGAGGCAGCAGCG